CUUCGUUCUGCAGGGAGUAGAGGAGCCUCCUAUUCACUCUUUGAUUCUGAUUGAGGGGUUCUAGCUGUGUCCUGAACAUCUUCCAGCAGUAGGAAGUCUGGAGCUGCAUCUUGGCAUCAGACCCAUGAGCUGCUUCCUUCACUCAGCUGCUCAAUCAGCAGGAGAACCAUACAUCUUAGGAGGAUGCCUGGAAGAAGACAAACUCUUCUAUAUGCUCCUGACUCCUGCAAAGAUGCUGUUUAAUGCUACUGCCAGGUUCUUUAAAUUGCAUUCCAGGGAUGUAUAGGAUGCCACAAUCUUUAGACCUAUGACUCUGCAUAGAGCGUCAGCAGAUGGUAACUCCUUUUUAUGUGGGCAUCUGUCCACUAAGAGCUGGAACAAGACCAGCAACUCAUUUAGUGCAAGAUUCCAAACAGCUACUAGUUAUCGUAAUGACAACUUUUGGACACUACCAAUUUGGGCGUCAUUCCAAGGCAUGGCCUUAAGAUGAACUAGACUUUGUAUGUAGCUGUCUUCAGUACCCCUGUUGGAGUGUCUUUCAUGUGGAUUUGAAUGAUGAGCCUCUUUCAAACUCCCAGCCAGCUGAAAAGGAUUGACACUUCAGAGUCACAAAGCAAUCCAGAAUUCAGACCCAACAAAAUUUCUUUUUGACCUGUCAUCAACAAAUACAAAAUAUUCACUAAAAAUAAUAAUAAAAAAAUCAAGUAGUACUCAUGAUGGGAAUAGAAUACUGUGAACAUGAGGCAGCACUUACAGGCCUCAAACAGCAGUAGUGGCAGCAUGUAGCUUACCACAGAUUGACAUUUUAUGAUAUAAAAAACAAUUGUUAUGGAUCCCUCCCCCUUUGCUGGAUGGGUAGAACUACUGGGUCAGUCCUUUCCAGUAGAAUGGAAGGUUCAUCUUCUGAUGGAAGGAGUCUUCCUCCAAUGGAAGGAAGGACCCAGCCUAUUUAUUUAUUUAUUUACUUGUUUUCCAAUCAACUGAAGUUUUCUAGUAAGUUUUACUACACAUUCUGGAAGGGGAGGGACCAACUCAACAUGGGAUGUCAUUUUUGGUGUUCCAUUCCUAUGUCAGACCAUUGGAACCCAAAAUCCAGAAAGGUGCCAACUGUUCCCCAAGUCCUGCUGAACAUUUGUGAUGCUUGCUCAAUUGCAAUGACAACUGAGAUCAGCACAUGGACUGAUAACCGCCUUCAGCUGAGACAAGUGCACCUAUUAGACUUCAUAAUAACAACUGAAAUUUCAAAGUGAUACACAUCUUUAUUGCACUGCUUGCAGUAUUCAGACAACUUGGAAGCUGGUUGUUCUGUAGUUCUCAUCAUGAUAUACACAUUUGUCUAUAAAUGUAAGAGCCACAGAAUUAUUUCUGUCAUUAAAAUGUGUAUGUAAAUGUGAUUAGAUCAGGCUUCUUUAGCACAUUAAAUUGUUUAUGUUAGUGAUGUCAGGGUCAUCCUUCCCUGAAACCUUGUGGUAAUUUAUUAUACACCACGCCUUGGCGUUUACAGAAAAAGAAGCCAGCGGCUCUAGCUGGGUUGCUUGUGUCUGGUUCCUCAUUCUCUGAGUGUGAAAACUUUAUUGCUCAUUAUCUACCGGGCUGUGAUGAAGUGACAGAUGAUUUAUUGGGAGCCAAAACCUGUGUUUCAGUGAUGAACAUUUUUAUCCUUUUGUGUUGCAGCCUGCCCAAUCCCUUGUAACUGCUGAGGCAACAAAUGAAGGGAAUUGACUGCUGGAGGGCCCUAGGACUAUCACUCAUAAAAGUCCACAUUUCAGAUCUCGCUCCAUCCCUGUUUGAUUCAAUUCUCUUUUGUUGCUUAAAAAUUCAAUUUGUUUAAUUGAGCUGUUGGGCAGUAAAAUCUGAAUUCUAUGCAUUUUAACCAUUCAUAUUAAAUUUCCCUCUGCAUAGUACUUGUUAUUAAUAGGCUUUAAGAGAGGUCACUUUAAUUUAAAUGUGGCGACCUUACAAGCUUAUAAAAUGAUCUAUAUGCUUCCCUCCUCAAACUGAAAUUAAAUUGAAUAAAUGGAAGAUAAUGUUACAAUAGAUAUUUCUUCCCAAGGCUUUCAGAUCUUCUUAGAACAUGGGUUUCUGUUAUAAAACAGACGUGAAGUCAAUCUACUUGCGUGAUCCUCUGCUUUUAAUAGUAAAAAAUGACUUUGUAUUGGUGCCCUACAGUAGUGACAUGCAAAUUAAUAAAUUUGCAGUGUCUUUUUGGCAUUUAAAGACACAUCUACUGUUGCAACUUGUGUGGUACUACGUAUGUAGCAAAAUGCAUAUAAUAGCUUUUUUUGUUUAUUUUAAUAGGGGUUAUGUGUUACUGACAUUUAAACAGCAGAACAUCUUUUCCUUCAGGAUUAAUAAAUACCAUGCAAGCCUGCAUAAGACUUUAAGGUUUACUAAACUUUAAUCUGUAAAAUUUAAUAGCAAUAUCUACAUCAUUAUGUGUAUAUAGAAUCCUGGUUGGCUUUGCAAACACCUUUAAGCUGUGAAUUAUGUUACAAGAAUGGGUUUGCUGUGUAUCAUUAUGUCCAGGUAAAUGCCAGGAUGAUGACAUAAUUGGUAGUUGGGAGUAAAAUACAACCCCAGUAAAAUGUU